UCCUAGGGACAGGGUGUGUAGAUACCAUACUGAAAGAUCCCCGAAGAGAGACCCUUACUCAAGCCUCAGGAAAUCACGGACCCCAGACACAGAGAGACCA
rnacentral:pre_miRNA from 14 species